UACGUAGGUGGCAAGCGUUGUCCGGAUUUAUUGGGUUUAAAGGGUGCGUAGGUGGUCAAUUAAGUCAGUGCUGAAAUAUCCCGGCUUAACCGGGAGGGUGGCAUUGAUACUGAUUGACUUGAGUGGAGUUGAGGUAGGCGGAAUUGACGGUGUAGCGGUGAAAUGCGUAGAUAUCGAGAGGAACACCUGCGGCGAAGGCGGGUUGCUGGGCUGAUACUGACGCUGAGGCGCGAAAGCCAGGGAGCGAACGGG
rnacentral:rRNA from 1 species